CAUUAUAUUAUCUGUUUAGAUGAUAUUAUGUGAUACUAGAACAUUGGCUGUUUUAAUGUUGGCAAAAAGCUAACUGACAAAAUAUAUUAUGAUAUUGAGGAGAUAAAUAUUUGAGAGGUAUGCAACUGCAUUUCUAUUUGUCUUUGUACAUGUUCAGCAGUAUUUGAGAAACCCAGAAACAAGAAUUUACCCACAUUACUAGAUAUCAUUUUAGCAUACAAAAAGCUACAAAAUAAACCAGCUGCAAAGAAGCAAGGAGACAGGUAAAUUCAACUACAAGUACUAUCAAGAAUUACAAAAAAGAAUCUUCUAAACCUCAGAAACCUGCUCCUAAGAAACAAGAAUCAUCCUCGGAUGACAGCGAUGAUAGUGAUAAUGAAAAAACUAAAUUAAAUCCAUCUAUAUCUACUCUAGCUAAGAAUAGGCAAACAAAGGAUACUCCUGCUAAACUUGCUCAGGUAAAGAAACAAAAAUAUUCUUCUGAUAGCGACUGUAGUGAUGAAGAACCUAAAAAAGUUCAAAAACCAGUACAGAAACAGUCAAAUACAUCUGUUAAAGCAACCCCUAAAGUACAAAAUGAAGAGUCUUCAGAUGAGAGUGAUGAUUCUAAUGAUGAUACUACUAGAAAGGCUCCUCAGAAACCAGCCUCAAAACCCGCGUUCACACCAUCAAAGAUUGGUGCUAAGUCUGCUCUAGCUAAAAAACCUGAAUCGUCAUCAGAAGAGGAUAGUAGUGAUGAAGAUGAUAA
rnacentral:misc_RNA from 1 species